rnacentral:rRNA from 1 species
UGGGGAAUAUGGGACAAGGGGCGCAAGCCUGAUCCAGCCAUGCCGCGUGUGUGAAGAAGGCCUUUUGGUUGUAAAGCACUUUAAGCGAGGAGGAGGCUACUUGGAUUAAUACUCUAGGAUAGUGGACGUUACUCGCAGAAUAAGCACCGGCUAACUCUGUGCCAGCAGCCGCGGUAUUACAGAGGGUGCGAGCGUUAAUCGGAGUUACUGUGCGUAAAGCGUGCGUAGGCGGCUUUUUAAGUCGGAUGUGAAAUCCCUGAGCUUAACUUAGGAAUUGCAUUCGAUACUGGGAAGCUAGAGUAUGGGAGAGGAUGGUAGAAUUCCAGGUGUAGCGGUGAAAUGCGUAGAGAUCUUGAGGAAUACCGAUGGCGAAGGCAGCCAUCUGGCCUAAUACUGACGCUGAGGUACGAAAGCAUGGGGAGCAAACAGG